UACGUAGGGUGCAAGCGUUAAUCGGAAUUACUGGGCGUAAAGCGUGCGCAGGCGGUCAUGCAAGACAGAUGUGAAAUCCCCGGGCUCAACCUGGGAACUGCAUUUGUGACUGCAUGGCUGGAGUGCGGCAGAGGGGGAUGGAAUUCCGCGUGUAGCAGUGAAAUGCGUAGAUAUGGCGGAGGAACACCGAUGGCGGAGGCAAUCCCCUGGGCCUGCACUGACGCUCAUGCACGAAAGCGUGGGGA
rnacentral:rRNA from 1 species